rnacentral:rRNA from 1 species
AGAGUUUGAUCCUGGCUCAGAACGAACGCUGGCGGCGUGCUUAACACAUGCAAGUCGAGUGCGCGCUUGUAGCAAUACAAGUGGCGCACGGCGCACGGGUGCGUAACACGUGGGCAAUCUGCCCUCUGAUGGGGAAUAACCCACCGAAAGGUGGGCUAAUACCGCAUAAGAUUCCUCGGACUUAGGUCUGGGGAUUGAAA